ensembl:lncRNA
AGCUCCAGCAAUGGAAUCGCACUGGCCUUUAGGCAAGUUUAAUGACAUGAAGAUUUAAUGCUUGUAGCUGUUUCAGCCAUCUGGAGAAAGCCUGGGUCUGCUGAGAGCUGCACACACUGCCUGAGUUAGGACUAAUUCAAAGAUGAGAGCACCAUGAAAGUGAAAGUGAAAGUCACUCAGAGGUGUCCAACUCUCUGCGACCCUAUGGACUACACAGUCCAUGGAAUUCUCCAGCCCAGAAUAUUGGAGUGCAUAGCCGUUCCCUUCUCCAGGGGAUCUUCCCAACCCAGGGAUGGAACCCAGGUCUCCCACAUUACAGUUAGAUUCUUUAUCAGUUGAGCCACCAGUUGCCAAGUUGCGUCCGACUCUUCGCAACUCCACGGACUACAGCAUGCCAGGCUUCCCUGUGCCUCACCUCAUCAUUCUUUACCAACUGAGCCACCUGAAGAGCCCGUAUAUGUUCAUGUGUAUAUAUGUGCAUGCAAAGUAGCUUCAGUUGUGUCUGACUCUUUGUGACCCUAUGGGCUGUAGCUCCGCUGCCUAUGGGAUUCUCCAGGCAAGAAUACUGGAGUAGGUUGCCAUGCCCUUCUCCAGGGGAUCUUCCCAACCCAGGGAUGGAACCCAGGUC